rnacentral:rRNA from 1 species
UACAGAGGGGGCAAGCGUUAUUCGGAAUUAUUGGGCGUAAAGGGCGCGUAGGCGGCUUUGCAAGUGACGGGUGAAAGCCCUCGGCUUAACCGAGGAACUGCCUGUCAGACUGUAAGGCUUGAGACCGGGAGAGGUGAGUGGAAUUCCCAGUGUAGCGGUGAAAUGCGUAGAUAUUGGGAGGAACACCAGUGGCGAAGGCGGCUCACUGGCCCGGUACUGACGCUGAGGCGCGAAAGCUAGGGGAGCAAACGGG